GCAGUGCGUGGCCGAAUAGUUACGCUGUCCGCUUUGUAAGCGGAUGAUUCUGGGUUCGAUUCCCAUCUGCUCCA
rnacentral:tRNA from 1 species